UACGAGGGGGGCAAAUGUUGUUCGGAAUCACUGGGCGUAAAGGGCGCGUAGGCGGGUUCUUAAGUUAGGUGUUUAAUCCCGGGGCCCAACCCCGGACCGGCACUUAAAACUGGGAAUCUUGAAUAGUGGAGAGGUCAGUGGAAUUGGGGGUGUAGCGGUGGAGUGCGUAGAGAUCCCCAAGAACACCAGUUGCGAAGGCGGCUGACUGGACACAUAUUGACGCUGAGGCUCGAAAGCAUGGGGAGCAAACAGG
rnacentral:rRNA from 1 species